UGGGCCAUCGCCAAGCGGUAAGGCACAGGACUUUGACUCCAGCAUCCGGCAGUUCGAACCUGCCUGGCCCAG
rnacentral:tRNA from 1 species